UUUCCCCACAGGUCAUUAAAAUGUUCUCUUCCUCAUUUUCUCUUUUUGGUUGGUUUGUUUGCUUAAAUAGGACUCUAGGACCGAGGAAUAUGAAGAAACAGAAGAAGAAUUUCUUAAAAGGUAUGCUAAAGCAGCUGAGGCAUUGGAAAAUGGUUCAGUUAUUGAAGAAGGGACGAUGAAGACCAGGAACUGGAGCUGGAAAUAGGUAAUCUUUUUGUUGUAUGCAUAUGGGAACAUGUGCUUAAUCUACUUUUUAUUAAACAUGCAUCGCCCAUGUAAAAAGGAAACUUCUAAAAUGAGUUGGUCAUUGCAUCAUUAUAAUUAAUCUGGAGUUUUUAGGCGGUUGCAUCAUAGUGGUCAAGAACAAUUUGUUCAUGAAUAUCAUUGUCAGAAAUUAGGUACACAAAUCUCAUUGGCAAAUAUUACUAUUUUCACGAGUAUCACCCUGAACCAACCCGGAUAUAUCCGCUCUGCCUGGGCACCGUAUUGUCUUGUUUUUUCUUUUAACGGGUGAUGUUGGACAUAUGGAUGCAUACACACAUAUGUAUAAUUCAAUAGUAAACAUAUUAUUAUAGAUUUAACGGAUUUGAGUUGGAGAAGUGGGAACGGAUCUUGGAGGGGAUGGAAAAGGAUAGGAGAGAAAGUGAGCAAAGGGAUGGGGUGUGCAAUGAAAAUGGCAGUGAAAAUGAGUGAGUGAAUAUGAAUAGAAAUUUAGGAUUUUAGAACAGUAAAUAAAUAAGGUUAAAAAGUAAAAAAGGUUAAUUUUGUAAUUAAAAUUUUUUUAUAAAGAGUUGGGGAGGUGGAGGGAGAAAGGUGUGGUGGUGAAGGAAGUAAUACCUAACUAUAUGUCAAUAAACGGGCCAUUUCUUCCUGGAUUGUCCCAUCCAAAAUGGACUCCGAGAUCCGGUAAUUUAUACCGAACUGAACAAUCCGGACGUUCAUGCGAUUUUGUUUUUUGGCGUUUGUUAUGCAUGGUUUUGUUAUUGACCAGCUUAUCUCUAUCACUUCUCAUGCGUGCAAUUUUACAAUAAGCAGCUCCAACUUCUCCCCUUUCUUCAUGUUUUCCUUCUUCACUCCCAUUUUUGUAUCUACUUCAAAGUACUAGGGGCUUUUUCCCCAUCCAUAUCGCCCUUCAUUGCAGAUUUGGUUUGCUUAGUCGCUGCUGCUGCGUUGUGUUGCAGUGACACGCAUGGUGGCUAGAAGCUGCGGGUGGAUCACGAUGCAGAUCUGCAUUUUUUUGGAGAUGGAGUAGAAGAUAACACCGAUCUUUUGGCGCGAUACUCCUGGAAGCGACCCUGGUGAAAAACGACGCCAACCAACCUAGGCUGCUGCCGCCGUCCCCGAUCGGAGUUGUCCCCGGCGCCUCGUACAUGGGAGAGAUGAAGAAGCUGAAGAACACACCUUUUUGUUCCGAAUUGAGCCAUCCGAAGUGUACUUUCCAGAUCUGUAAACAUCACUACGUUGCGUGUUAUUUACGAGAGAAAAACUGUGAAUAUGGUGCAGUGAUGUUUGGGGAAAAUAAUGGGGUUGGAUAGAAUAAGUAAUUAGGGUUUAAGUGAGGGUAAAAGAGAAAUUGUAGAAGUUACGGGGCAGGAAGAAAACAAGAGGUGCAGGAAGAAAUUAUCCAAUAAAAAACGAUGUAAGUAACACAUGCGAGAGUUACUCUCUCAACCACCACUCCUACACCUAUUUUUUUUUUUCCUUCAAUAAUAUUAGAAGGAAGGUAAAUAUGUUACAUUAUAUAUCCGUUGAAGACGGAUAUUCUUAAAAUAAGAUAUAAGUUGUGUAAUAUCUUAUUUUCUUAAUCAUUAUCUUUUUCUUCCAUUUUCA
rnacentral:sRNA from 1 species